rnacentral:lncRNA from 1 species
UCAACCAUGUUUGUAGGCUACAUAUCGUGAAGCAAAAUACUGUAAAUGAGCCCACCCUGUGGCCAAAGUCACAGACUCUAAAGACUACAAUUAAUGAAAAAGUUAGAUGAAAAUCAAGGUCAAGGCAGACACAAACAUUAUAUGAAAGAUUCAAGCCGAAAAUUCAUGUUUUGGUGGGAUAGUUGGACAGGUAAAGGUGCUCUUGCUAAUUUUGUCCCUGGACUAGGUAAGUCUGCUGAACUCCUGGUCAAUUCCUUUAUCAAAGAUAAUAUGUGGAAUUUUGACAAAUAUAAUGAUACUCUUCCUUAUUAUAUUGUUGAAGAUAUUAGAAAUAUUGAUUUUGGGAUACUAGAGAUCCUAAGUUCCCUAUUUGAAAAUCAACAGAAGAUGGUACUUUCUCUACGAAAUCUACUUGAUAGCUAAUUAGGGAACAAAAGCAGAGAAAUAACCUUCUCCAAAGUGUUUGGCAUGCUAGAAUCCCCUUCAAAGUCUCUUUCUUACUUGGUGGAUGAUUAAAAAGAAAUUUCAUUUUAAGGAUACAGUUAACAGGUGCGGCACUAAUUUCUUUGAUGAGCUCUCUUGUGACAGUCUACUACAAAGUAAGACAAUACAACAUAUUUUUAUUACCAGUGAAGGAGCUAGUAGGUUGUGGAGCAUUAUCGACAACACUCUGUGAAUUCAACACCAUCAAGAUUAGGGGUGGGCAUUCGGUUUGUUCGGUUUGAUUGUUGAAUAUUGGUUCGGUUUUUCGAUUUUCGGAUUGACGAAAAUGAAAAUCAUAACCAAACCAAAAUUAUUUCGGUUUGGUUCGGUUUUUACAAAUUCGGUUCGGUUAUUUUGGAUUUUUAUUUCGGUUUUAAAGAUUAAAGUAGUGAGCAUUUAAAAUUGGUGAUUUUUCUAAAAAAAUAAUCUUUUUUCAAACCUAUUUUUCAUUCCCAAAUAUAAUUAAUUCAACAUGCAUGAAAUAACCAUAAAUAUCGACCUUGCUGAGUCAUCGCAGUUGGCGUGACGGCAGUGGCCGCACUCGGCAGCGACUACCGACGGCAGUGACAAACUGAACAAAUGAACUGAGCAAAUGACUGUGGUUGGCGAUUUUGAAAUUUCAAAUGAAUUGACGAACUGAGGAUGGUUGAACGCUGCUGCAUCCUUCACGUUAAUGUUAGGGUCUAAAGCGAAGCAGUGUAUUAGGAUUUAGGGUUACUAAAUGAUUAUAAUUUAUAUAUUUAUAUGUUAUAUCAGAUUAUAUUAUAUUUUUAGUAUAUUUACAUAUAUAUUAAAUUUUAUAUAUAUAUAUAUAUAUAUAUAUAUAUAUAUAUAUAUAUUAUAAUAUAUUAUUUAUAUAAUUUCGGUUUUCGGUUUAUCCGAAUUCUUUUUAUAUAAAUUCAAAAACCAAACCGUUUAACCAAAUUUCUAAAAUUUGAAACCGAAACCAAUCCGAAAAACCAAACAAAAAUUAAAUUUCGAUUCGAUUUUUCGGUUUUUUCGGUCUAAACCAAAAUAUGCCCGGCCCUAAUCAAGAUGAACCUAUUAUCUCGGUGCUAAAUAGAUAGUGAACCAUUGUAUAUCAAAACAAUAUUCAAGAGAUGAUUUUGAAGAAUUCCCCUAUCUUUAUAUGCUAG